UUGAUUUCCGCCACUUUCUCUCUCUUCUCCCCGCGCCACUCCUCACCACUCGUCUUUCCCAACUCGCCAGCGGCAAAAGGUCUUCUCCCUCACGUGUUUCUCCAAACCGACGGUCACUUCCUCUCCCUUCAUCGUUUUCUUGGUCUUCUCCUCACCCACUCGACCGACGGAUUGGCGGCUGAAAGAUCCACGGUGUGCUCCAGCGUCCCGCUGCUCCAACAGUCCACGAAUACCCCUCUUUCACUUACGGCAAUCAAGGUGCAUUCUUUCCCAAUCCCAAGGAAAGUUUAGAGGCCAGAUCUACCCUUAGGAAGGCUGCAAUCCGACUAGGCGACUAGAAAGGUUGCAGCAAUCGACUUCACGUAAAGCAAAUUCAGGUUAGUAAGAUGGGUUUUGGGCUAAAAUUGUGUAACGUCGUUGGGCUGAUUUGGAAUUGGGUUCGGCCAAAGAUUGGCGUUCAUUCCAUCGGUGUAAACUCGCAAGUUUGAGCGACUUUUCCACGGUGGAAACCAGUUUUAAAUCCGUUCUUAUGAGUCAGAAGGAAAACCCAUUGUCUCCCGUGCUAUUUCCCAAAGAUUCAACCACGUUUCACCGGCAAAUCUAUUCCAAAAGGCCAUGGUUGAAGCCUCGGUUUCAGCCUUCUAGCUCGCCGGAAAAAAACAAGAAAAAGAAUACAAAAUCUGUGAAAAAGGGCGUCAAAUCAGCAAGAAGCACUUCAAAGAAGGAUCGCCCAAAGAUAAGAAUUGAUUAGUGAGUUCCAGCGGCUUCAAGAGUGAUAUCGAUGGAGUUCUAGGGUUCGGUCGGAAUUCACAAACUUUCGGCGACCGCAGCUCAUUUCCUGGCAAACAUUUGGUUGGAUCCUGCGUAUGGACCAGAAUACCUUUGGCUAUCGUUAAGAUUAUUCAACAAAUCCAAAGGCAGAAUCGGUAGUAGUGGACUAAGUUGGGGGAUCGCCUAGGGUUUCCUAAAACUAGCCAUUGGUGCACAUUUAGUAAUUUUUGGCCAUCCUCCUCCAAAGAUGGUAAUUUCAUGUAGGGGGAUUAUCGAAAGAAAAGAGAGAGACUCAAGCAUGAUUUAUCCUCUUUCCAUUAACUUGCCCUUGAAGGUGAAACAACAAUGGCUAAUGCUAUAUUGCAAGUGAUACCUGUGUUUGCAUCCCUUGUACCAGUUUUAAGUUCCAAGUCCUCUUCCCAUCGUCUUUGCUGUAGACGCGAUACAAUAGUCGUGAAGACUAUGCUGCAACUGCUACCCAUGUCUGCAUCCCUUGUACCAGUGUUGCCACCAAGUGGAUGUAAGUUUCAGACCUUCAUUGAUUAUCUUACCAGAAGAAGAAAAGAUAGAAGCAGAGAAUUCAUGGUUCGUUCUGAGCAGAGUGACACCCAGUUCGAGAUUGAUCGAGUGAAGGCCAAAGAGGCUCUAAAGGACCUCGAUCAACAACUUUUGAACUUGUCCCAGAGACAAAGUCCAAAAACCAGGUUCCUUUCUUCAAUACCAUAUGCAAGUCGGGUCAGGUCAGGUCCAGACCCGGACCCAAGCUCCACCCGCGUGUGAGCCCGACGCCCUUUUCUCCCUCGUCUUCUUCUCAGACCCCCUCCCCUCUGUUGCCUCUCGUGCCAGCGCAAGGAAGAAGAAGAAGACAGAGGUGCUUGGCGGCGACAAGAACGGCGGCCGUGGUGCUCAGUUUGGGGGACGUGUUCUUUUCCUCGUAACAGCGAUUAGAUGGUGUUGGUGGUGGCAGCAUUGCACGAUUUUUACCGCUUGGGGAUCAAUUGAACGCUUGAGGUGGCUGUCGAGAUGAUUGCAGCAGUCUAGGCUCUAAUUUCUGGGUACACCGGGUACGUCCCGUAGACCUUGAGCGACCAGUUUUGAAGCUUGAGGCAUUUUGAAGAGUUUUAUGGGCACGCGACAAGUUUUGGUGGACCAGGGGCAGCAGGUUGAGCAGAUGACUUCACUCAUUUAUGAGCACAUUCCAUGAUCUAUUGAUCACUCAUUUAUGAGCACAUUCCAUGAUCUAUUGAUCCAUUUUUCUGAUAGUGAAUAACCCUUAUGACGUAUGCUUUAUCAAAAUAACUAGCAAUUUUUCUUGUAUCUUAGAACAUAAAAGAAACCUCCAGCCAUUGUGUUCCCGUAUUGGUUUUCCUUUAGCAUUAAUCUUUGAUGGGUUGUUCUCUGAAACUAGCAUUUUCAUGGCUUACAAAACAUGUAUAAAAUGAGAUCGUUUACAAAAAAAGUAACAAGUAUAAUAUGCAGUUCAUCUGAUUGUAUCGAAUUUAUGUGAGAAUAAUUGUAGAUCUUUGUCAUUUCAAGCUGCCAGAUGUUUAGUAUGACGUUCUUUUAAAUGGCUUUGUUCUCAGAGGCAGAUAUCAAGAAAAGAGAGCCAAUUGCUGCUGGGCUGGAAACAGAAGAUGUGCCAGAUGUUUCAGGAUCAUAUUUGGCAUAUAUUGCUACCUUUCUGGUCGUAAUAACUGUUCUUAAUAAUAUAGCAUUCAAUAUAUUUAUCAAACCAUCUGUUGAUAAUAAAGGGCCUCCACCUGCUAGUGCUAGUGCCAAAUUGUUCCAGGAGGAGAUACGGCAGGUUCCAACAUUGUAAAGCUAAGAAUAUGCUUGUCCAUCAAUCAAGGAGAAAGAGGAUGCAAUUUCGUUGCUUGAUGUACCUACAUUCUUUAUGAUGCUCAUUAAGAUGAGACAAGUCAUGCAUGGUUAGCAUUAGGACAGAUGGGUGUCUCCAUAGCCAUUUUAUCCUAACCGUUCAUCGAGUAUGUGCCUUUGCGGUUUACACCUGCAAUCCCAUUGUAAUUGGUUAAUCAUCUACAAUCAUGAAACUUUGUGGGGCUAUUCGAAGCUUGGUUGGAGCUUUGUUUUUA